rnacentral:rRNA from 1 species
GAUUAAUACUCCAUAGUACUAAUGAAUCACCUGGUUUAUUAGUUAAAACUCCGGUGGUAAAAGAUGGGCAUGCGUGUCAUUAGCUAGUUGGUAAGGUAACGGCUUACCAAGGCGAAGAUGACUAGGGGUUCUGAGAGGAAGAUCCCCCACACUGGUACUGAGACACGGACCAGACUCCUACGGGAGGCAGCAGUGAGGAAUAUUGGUCAAUGGGUGAGAGCCUGAACCAGCCAUGCCGCGUGAAGGAAGACUGCCCUAUGGGUUGUAAACUUCUUUUCUGCAGGAAGAAAUCACUCUACGUGUAGGGUGUUGCCGGUACUGCAGGAAUAAGCAUCGGCUAACUCCGUGCCAGCAGCCGCGGUAAUACGGAGGAUGCAAGCGUUAUCCGGAUUUAUUGGGUUUAAAGGGUUGCCUAGCCGGGCUUGUAAGUCAGUGGUGAAAUGCUGUGGCUUAACCAUAGAAUUGCCAUUGAAACUGCAAGUCUUGAGUACAGUUGAGGUGGGCGGAAUGAGUAAUGUAGCGGUGAAAUGCAUAGAUAUUACUCAGAACUCCGAUUGCGUAGGCAGCUUGCUAAACUGUAACUGACGCUGAUGCACGAAAGCGUGGGGAGCGAACAGGAUUAGAUACCCUGGUAGUCCACGCUGUAAACGAUGAGCACUGGUUGUUGGCAAUACACCGUCAGCGACUGAGCGAAAGUAUUAAGUGCUCCACCUGGGGAGUACGUCGGCAACGAUGAAACUCAAAGGAAUUGACGGGGGCCCGCACAAGCGGAGGAACAUGUGGUUUAAUUCGAUGAUACGCGAGGAACCUUACCUGGGCUUAAAUGUAGAGUGCAUUGUUUGGAAACAAACAUUUUCUUCGGAACUCUUUACAAGGUGCUGCAUGGUUGUCGUCAGCUCGUGCCGUGAGGUGUCGGGUUAAGUCCCAUAACGAGCGCAACCCCUAUUGUUAGUUACCAGCACGUAAUGGUGGGGACUCUAGCAAGACUGCCGGUGUAAACCGUGAGGAAGGUGGGGAUGACGUCAAAUCAGCACGGCCCUUAUGUCCAGGGCUACACACGUGUUACAAUGGCAAGUACAAAGAGCAGCCACCUGGCGACAGGGCGCUAAUCUCAAAAGCUUGCCUCAGUUCGGAUCGAAGUCUGCAACUCGACUUCGUGAAGGUGGAUUCGCUAGUAAUCGCGCAUCAGCCAUGGCGCGGUGAAUACGUUCCCGGGCAUUGUACACACCGCCCGUCAA